UCAAGAUAAUAAGAGCAUAGGGCGAAUGCCUUGGCACCAGGAGUCGAAGAAGGACGCGGUAAGCUGCGAAAAGCCUCGGGGAGUCGCAAGCAGACAUAGAACCGGGGAUAUCCGAAUGGGGAAACCCGAUUAGGAUAAUACCUAAUCACCCAUUAGUGAACAAAUAGCUAAUGAGGAGACAAACCAGGGGAACUGAAACAUCUAAGUACCCUGAGGAAAAGAAAGAAAAAUCGAUUCCCUAAGUAGCGGCGAGCGAAAAGGGAAGAGCCCAAACCAAAGGCUUAGGCAUUUGGGGUUGAGGAUAUACAGAUAAAAGAUGAGGAAUCGUAGUCGAAUAGACCUGGAAAGGUCAACCGAAGAAGGUAAAAGUCCUGUAGAUAAAACGAAGAGACAACUUAGUAUAAUCCAGAGUACCACGAGACACGAGAAACCUUGUGGGAAACAGGGGGGACCACCCCCCAAGGCUAAAUACUACCUGGUGACCGAUAGCGAAUAGUACCGUGAGGGAAAGGUGAAAAGAACCCCGGAAGGGGAGUGAAAAAGAACCUGAAACCCUAUGUUUACAAGCAGAGAAAGUUCCAUACGAGAACGAUCUCGUACUUUUUGUAGAACGGGCCAACGAGUUACGGUAUGCAGCAAGGUUAAGCUAUUAUGUAGCGGAGCCGAAGCGAAAGCGAGUCUGAACAGGGCGAAUAAGUUGCAUGCCGUAGACCCGAAACCGGGUGACCUAUCCAUGAGCAGGAUGAAGCGGAAGUAAAAUUUCGUGGAGGUCCGAACCCAUGUCUGUUGAAAAAGGCUGGGAUGACUUGUGGAUAGCGGAGAAAUUCCAAUCGAACUCGGAGAUAGCUGGUUCUCCCCGAAAUAGCUUUAGGGCUAGCCUCAAAAGAAUAGAUACGGAGGUAGAGCACUGAAUGGUCUAGGGGCCCUCACCGGUUACCAAAGCCUAUCAAACUCCGAAUGCCGUAUACUAAUAUUUGGGAGUCAGACUAUGGGAGAUAAGUUUCAUAGUCAAAAGGGAAACAGCCCAGACCAUCAGCUAAGGUCCCAAAGUACAGGUUAAGUGGGAAAGGAUGUGGGAUUGCACAGACAACUAGGAUGUUGGCUUAGAAGCAGCCACCCAUUCAAAGAGUGCGUAAUAGCUCACUAGUCGAGUGAUCCUGCGCCGAAGAUAACCGGGGCUCAAACCUGUCACCGAAGCUAUGGCUGAUUAGAGGCAAGAAGCGAGAGGCAAGAAGCACCAAGUGGUGUAAGGUAAGCUUUGUUAGAAAUUAAGAGCUCCAAUUAGGAAGCGAGUAAUUACUAACCAGAUUUCUUCAGGCUCAAACCGAUAGAGAAUAGUAAUGGCUAUGCAAGAGGGGUAGGGGAGCAUUCUGUAUAGAUACAAGCCAUACCGAAAGGAGUGGUGGACAGUACAGAAGAGAGAAUGUUGGCAUGAGUAGCGAGAGGUGGGUGAGAAUCCCACCCGUCGAAAACCUAAGGUUUCCUGAGGAAGGUUCGUCCACUCAGGGUUAGUCGGGACCUAAGCCGAGGACGAAAGUCGUAGGUGAUGGACAACUGGUUGAAAUUCCAGUACCACCGAAAAUCGUUUGAGCGAAGGGGUGACACAGGAGGAUACGUAAAGCGCACCGUUGGUUGAGUGCGUCUAAGCAUUUAGGGAGUUAAGACAGGCAAAUCCGUUUUAACAAUUCUGAGAUGUGAUGGGGAGCGAAAAAAAGUAGCGAACUUACCGAUUCCACACUGUCAAGAAAAGCCUCUAGUUAGAUCAAGGUGCCCGUACCCCAAACCGACACAGGUAGGUGAGGAGAAAAUCCUAAGACGAGCGAGCGAACUAUUGUUAAGGAACUCGGCAAAAUAACCCCGUAACUUCGGGAGAAGGGGAGCCACAUUAGGGUGUAAUAGCCUGAAGUGGCCGCAGUGAAUAGGCCCAAGCGACUGUUUAGCAAAAACACAGGUCUCUGCUAAGUCGAAAGACGAUGUAUAGGGGCUGACGCCUGCCCGGUGCUGGAAGGUUAAGGGGAAAUGUAAGAGCAAUCGAAGCAUAGAACUUAAGCCCCAGUAAACGGCGGCCGUAACUAUAACGGUCCUAAGGUAGCGAAAUUCCUUGUCGGGUAAGUUCCGACCCGCACGAAAGGCGUAACGAUUUGGGCACUGUCUCAACAAUAGGCUCGGUGAAAUUGUAGUACCAGUGAAGAUGCUGGUUACCCGCAGCAGGACGGAAAGACCCCGUGGAGCUUUACUGUA
rnacentral:rRNA from 1 species